UACGUAGGGUGCGAGCGUUAAUCGGAAUUACUGGGCGUAAAGCGUGCGUAGGCGGUUCGUUAAGUUCGUUGUGAAAGCCCCGGGCUCAACCUGGGAACUGCAAUGGAAACUGGCGGGCUUGAGUGUGGCAGAGGGGGGUGGAAUUCCGCGUGUAGCAGUGAAAUGCGUAGAGAUGCGGAGGAACACCGAUGGCGAAGGCGGCCUGCUGGGCAGUUGCUGACACUGAGGCGCGACAGCGUGGGGAGCAAACAGG
rnacentral:rRNA from 1 species